GUGCUCACUUUUGCAGCACAUAUACUAAAAUUGGAAGGACACAGAGAAGAUUAGCAUGGCCCCUGUGCAAGAAAGAAAGAAGCAUACAAUUUCACAAACCAUUU